rnacentral:rRNA from 1 species
UACGAGGGAUCCUAGCGUUGUUCGGAAUUAUUGGGCGUAAAGAGCUCGUAGGCGGUCUGUUGCGUCGGCUGUGAAAACCCGGGGCUCAACCCCGGGCCUGCAGCCGAUACGGGCAGACUAGAGUUCGGCAGGGGAGACUGGAAUUCCUGGUGUAGCGGUGAAAUGCGCAGAUAUCAGGAGGAACACCGGUGGCGAAGGCGGGUCUCUGGGCCGAUACUGACGCUGAGGAGCGAAAGCGUGGGGAGCAAACAGG